GGGCGGCGGGCAGAGGCAAUGGCCAGUUGUCUAUGUUCAUGGUUCUAAAUCUGACGCUAGGCAGCUUGCGUGGUGUUGCGUGGAUGUUGGGUCGAUGCUGACAGAGUCGAUGAUGACAAAGGUAGCAAAUGGCGAUAUUCUCCAAGGUAAAACUCUUAAACGAUGGCGAAGAAAAAUGAGGAAGCAGCAGUUCAUGUCUAGGGUUAAAAUUUCUACUGUUGCGGCGCUCCCAUAUGAUACUCGUGGAGGAUACACCAUUAUUGGUGAAGACAUCUAUUGAGUAGAUCUAAAACCUCAAAAGCUCCCGUUCACUACCAUGUGGAAGGAGCGCUUUUGAGUCUUGCUUUAAAACUCGAUGUCGUUGCCGACCAAGAACCCGCAUCCAUAUCUUAGUUCGUGUCGCUCUCUCUUCUAUUCCAUCCGAACAAAAGAAGAAAAGAGAGGCGGGGGAAAAAAUUAUGAACAAUCCUUUACAACUUCCUUUCGUUUAUUUAUUUAUUUAUGACAACUACGUUCUGCUCUUUGGUACAUAUUUUGAACUUGAAUUAUGUGGUAUUUGUUUGACCCUUGGUUCAGACAAUUAGGGUAGCAUGGAAUUAACUUAAAACUCGUUUGA